rnacentral:pre_miRNA from 1 species
AAUAAGUGUAGUUUUACACCGUUUAUGUCGAACGUUCAUCUAUUCGUCUUAUUUAAAAUUUUUUUUAUGGUUAGUAUUUUUAUUAUUAUUAGAUGAUAAAACAUGAAUAGUACUUUAUGUGUGACUAUUUUUUUCCCAUAUUUUUUUUUUAAAUAAGAUGGACGAUCAAAUGUUGUACACGUAAACCCACAGCUACUUAUU